ACCCAUUUCAAAGGCUCAUUGACUCACUCAUUCCAACUGCGCCGUUUCAAAAUGUUUACGAUGCAACAAGGAGUUGGAACAUUGAGGGGGAGAAGAAGAAGACCCGACGGGUAGAAAAAGGAACAAU
ensembl:ncRNA C16E9.10 ncRNA